rnacentral:rRNA from 1 species
AGAGUUUGAUCAUGGCUCAGAUUGAACCUGGCGGCAUGCUUUACACAUGCAAGUCGAACGGGGUGAGGGGGCAACUCCUCAUUCAGUGGCGAACGGGUGAGUAAUGCAUCGGAACGUGUCCUGGAGUGGGGGAUAGCCCGGCGAAAGCGAUUAAUACCGCAUACGCUCUGAGGAGGAAAGCGGGGGAUCUUCGGACCUCGCGCUCAAGGGGCGGCCGAUGGCAGAUUAGCUAGUUGGUGGGGUAAAGGCCUACCAAGGCGACGAUCUGUAGCUGGUCUGAGAGGACGACCAGCCACACUGGGACUGAGACACGGCCCAGACUCCUACGGGAGGCAGCAGUGGGGAAUUUUGGACAAUGGGCGCAAGCCUGAUCCAGCAAUGCCGCGUGUGUGAAGAAGGCCUUCGGGUUGUAAAGCACUUUUGUCCGGAAAGAAAACCUUUGCCCUAAUACGGCGGGGGGAUGACGGUACCGGAAGAAUAAGCACCGGCUAACUACGUGCCAGCAGCCGCGGUAAUACGUAGGGUGCAAGCGUUAAUCGGAAUUACUGGGCGUAAAGCGUGCGCAGGCGGUCCGUUAAGACAGAUGUGAAAUCCCCGGGCUUAACCUGGGAACUGCAUUUGUGACUGGCGGACUCGAGUAUGGCAGAGGGGGGUAGAAUUCCACGUAGCAGUGAAAUGCGUAGAGAUGUGGAGGAAUACCGAUGGCGAAGGCAGCCCCCUGGGCCAAUACUGACGCUCAUGCACGAAAGCGUGGGGAGCAAACAGGAUUAGAUACCCUAGUAGUCC